AUUGAACGCUGGCGGCAUGCCUUACACAUGCAAGUCGAACGGCAGCACGGGGGCAACCCUGGUGGCGAGUGGCGAACGGGUGAGUAAUACAUCGGAACGUGUCCUGUAGUGGGGGAUAGCCCGGCGAAAGCCGGAUUAAUACCGCAUACGACCUGAGGGAGAAAGCGGGGGAUCCUCGGACCUCGCGCUAUAGGGGCGGCCGAUGGCAGAUUAGCUAGUUGGUGGGGUAAAGGCCUACCAAGGCGACGAUCUGUAGCUGGUCUGAGAGGACGACCAGCCACACUAGGACUGAGACACGGCCCAGACUCCUACGGGAGGCAGCAGUGGGGAAUUUUGGACAAUGGGGGCAACCCUGAUCCAGCAAUGCCGCGUGUGUGAAGAAGGCCUUCGGGUUGUAAAGCACUUUUGUCCGGAAAGAAAACCAUUGCCCUAAUAUGGUGGUGGGAUGACGGUACCGGAAGAAUAAGCACUGGCUAACUACGUGCCAGCAGCCGCGGUAAAAC
rnacentral:rRNA from 1 species